rnacentral:rRNA from 1 species
GACGAACGCUGGCGGCGUGCUUAACACAUGCAAGUCGAACGGAAAGGCCCUGCUUUUGUGGGGUGCUCGAGUGGCGAACGGGUGAGUAACACGUGAGUAACCUGCCCUUGACUUUGGGAUAACUUCAGGAAACUGGUGCUAAUACCGGAUAGGAGCUCCUGCUGCAUGGUGGGGGUUGGAAAGUUUCGGCGGUUGGGGAUGGACUCGCGGCUUAUCAGCUUGUUGGUUGGGUAGUGGCUUACUAAGGCUUUGACGGGUAGCCGGCCUGUGAGGGUGACCGGCUCCAUUGGGACUGAGAUACGGCCCCGACGCCUACGGGAGGCAGCAGUGGGGAAUAUUGCACAAUGGGCGGAAGCCUGAGGCAGCAACGCCGCGUGCGGGAUGACGGCCUUCGGGUUGUAAACCGCUUUCGCCUGUGACGCAGCGUGAGUGACGGUAAUGGGUAAAGAAGCACCGGCUAACUACGUG